GUGGUAAAGUCGGACAUGUUUGGGAUUGGUUAUCAUCCAGGUCAAGACUCGUCUGGACAAAAUAGAGGACGUCAUCCGUCGUUCACCUUUGUCAGUGCCGGAAUGCUAGAUUCAGAUCACGCCUGUACAGUGGGUAAAGAAUGACAGUAACUGCAGGUUUGAUGGUUGGAUAAAGCCGUGCGUGCCAGGAAGCUGGGAGGCUUAACAGAUCAGCACCGUCACUCGUCCGGAAGAGUAAUGAUUUCUUGUUUUCAGUUUAUAUGCAUGAAAGCCAUACGUGUUGCCCGACACGUAAUGGUCCAUUGUAAGGGUCACCUCAUGUUUAAAUUUGCAUUUUCUGCAUCAUUAAUAAAUGGAUGUUUUUCAGUCAAAAAACGGUGUUCCCUGUUUUUCAUUUAUUUUU
rnacentral:lncRNA from 1 species